rnacentral:rRNA from 1 species
CGACCUACGGGGGGCAGCAGUGAGGAAUAUUGGUCAAUGGGCGGAAGCCUGAACCAGCCAAGUCGCGUGAGGGAAUAAGGCCCUACGGGUCGUAAACCUCUUUUGCCGGGGAGCAAGGGCGGGGACGUGUCCCGGCCCGGAGAGUACCCGGAGAAAAAGCAUCGGCUAACUCCGUGCCAGCAGCCGCGGUAAUACGGAGGAUGCGAGCGUUAUCCGGAUUUAUUGGGUUUAAAGGGUGCGCAGGCGGCGUGUCAAGCAAGCGGUAAAAUAGCGGGGCUCAACCCCGUCGAGCCGUUUGAACUGGC